ACCACUAUAAAAAUAAUUACAAAAUGUACCCUGUUUUUUUUUUUUGAAAAAUUUACUAAUUAAAUUUUGAUCCCUUUAACUUUUGUUAUUUACACUUUUUCCCUUUAUCUUUUAGUUUCAGAGAUUCAGUUCCAGAUUCAAAGAUAGGUCUGCUAGGGUAACGCGUUUUCUCAUCUUCUCCUCUCUGGUUUGCUACCCUCGCCACCACAACACGCGUCAGACACCGCCGCUCCCUGCGUCCGCCGCGAUUCAAAGAGAGGUUUGCUAGGGUAACGCCAUUUUCUCACCUUCUUCUCUCUGGUUCGCCUACCCUCGCCGCCACAACACGCAUCAGACGCCGCCGCUCCCUGCGUCCGCCGCCCCUCGUCACAUUCUCGGAGGAACGAACUAUCAGUAUCACCAAUAUAGGGUAGGUUACUAGGUACAACUAUUCAUAAGCCAAUUUAGAGAAAGAACGAGAACCAGAGCGAUCCUUGAUGACACUGAAAUAGGACAACUUUCCUCAACCCCACUUCUUGUUGAGGACGACAAACCCAGCAAGGGAGCACAUUCUGCUGCAACUACUAUAACAUUCAUCACGUUGGUCCCAGCCAAAAGUUGCGUUCCAUUUGUAAAGAAGGCUGGUAGUGAAUCCAGCCUCAACGAAGCCAGUUCAAGAGGCACGUGCAGUAUCUACUGAUGGACUCAGACCAAGUUUCUAUUCAAUUAAUGUUGUAGAUUACGUUAUUCAGCUUGCUUUAUGGUUGUUAUUAUGGUGGAAACCUAUUAGGGUGCUGCUCAUCCUGUCUAAGGUGUUCUUUGCAGUCUUAAUUGGAGCUUGAUCAUUAUUUGUAUCCCGGAUAAAGGUGAUGAAUCAGGGCCAAUCAUACUUCAUCUGAAUUCUUUGAGUCUUCACUCUAGCAGAUCACUAUUUGAUAACAUCAAAAGGAAGUUAUGGGUCAGGAAUAUUCUCAUGAAGGGGUUAAUAGCGAGCAUACAUCAUAUGAUCAGUAUGAGCAGGAGGAAGAAAAACAUGAGGAAGUUGACGUGGAUUAUAUGGAUGAGGACGACACAAAUGUGGAACCAAUGUUCGAUUAUCACGGCUUCGAUGAAGGGUAUAACAUUGACUCACUCGAAGACAUUGGGAUGAUUGAAUUUUGGAACAUCAGGGAUGAAGAUGUAUGUCAUUUUCACUUUUCUGAUGUCGACAUUGCAUUUGAGUUCUACAAUAGAUAUGCAAGGACAAGAGGCUUUAGUGCUCGGAAGAACAGGACUAGGAAGAGUCGUGCAGGCGCACUUAAGUUGAAGAAUUUUGUAUGUCAUCGUGAAGGAUUUAGACCGCCAAAUAAUUACGGCAUCGGAAACCUUAAGAGAAAACCUACACGUGAGACAAGGUGUGGCUGCAGUGCAAUGAUGGAGAUUCGUGUAGAUGCACCUAGUGGUCGUUGGUUUAUUUCUUAUUUUUCUGAUGAACACAAUCAUCCGCUUCUGGAUCCUCGGUUGACUGGAUUGCUCCCUGGGCAUAGAUUCAUGUCUGAGGCUGAUAUUGGCCACAUGGUUAACAUGAAAAAGGGUGGGAUUAGUGUUGGGCAUAUAUAUCGGGUAUUAGCAAAUCAGGCAGGUGGCUACGAGUAUCUCUCUUUCACGCAAAGGGACAUGUACAAUAAAAUAGCAAAGCAGAGGCGCUAAUUACCCGGUGAUGCAUAUGCAGCUUUGAAGUAUCUAGAAGAUCAAGCAACAAAUGACCCUUUUCUCUAUUUUAAUCAUCACAUGGAUGCCGAUGGUACUUUGCGCAAUUUAUUCUGGUGCGAUGGUCUCAACAGGGCCGACUACUCAUUAUUUGGCGAUGUGCUCGCGUUUGAUGCUACCUAUAAGAGGAAUAAAUAUAUGUGUCCACUGGUGGUAUUUUCUGGUGUCAAUCAUCACAAUCAAACAAUUAUCUUUGCUACUGCUUUAAUUUGCGAUGAGGAAAAAGACACAUACAGGUGGUUGCUACAACAACUGAAGGUGGCAAUGAAUGGGAAGCACCUGUUUCGGUGAUCACGGAUGGUGAUCUAUUAAUGAAGUUCGCCAUUGAGAAAGAGUUUCCUAAUGCACAUCAUAGAUUAUGUGCAUGGCAUCUGAUUCGCAACGCAACAAGUAACAUUGGCAAGCCCCAGUUUACAUCCAUGUUUAGAAAGUGUAUGCUAGGCGACUAUGAAAUUGAUGUAUUUCGUCAAAAGUGGUUUGAAAUGGUUGAGGGAUUUGGUGUCGAAAACAAGAAUUGGGUCCUAGAUAUGUAUAAAAAGAGACAUUCAUGGGCAACUGCACAUAUAAGAGGGAAGUUUUUUGCUGGUUUUCGGACUACUUCUCGGUGCGAGGGAUUAAACUCGAUCAUUGCAAAGUAUGUCAACUCAAGGUACAAUCUGGUUGAGUUCAUUCAACACUUUAAUCGUUGUGUCGACCAUAUAAGGUGGAAAGAGGUCCAGGCUGACCUCGCCUCUGUGAAUGGGAGACCCAGUAUGCAAACCUGUUUUCAACAGUUGGAGAGGAGUGCUGCCAAUGUUUACACCCUAUCAAUAUUUCAUAUGUUCCAACCAAUCUUUGUACGGGCUGCAUCAAUGAAGGUAAUAAAUAUGAGGCAAACUGGCUCUUAUGUGAUUUACUCUGUCGGUUUGGACCAAACGUCAAAUGAGAUGUGGCGUGUAUUCUACACCAAAAAAUUGAUUUGAUCAUGGGACAACAGAAAAUUUAGAAUCGGUCAUUCAUGUUCUACACCAAAAAAUUGAUUUGAUCAUGGGACAACAUAAAACUUCCACAAAUAGUAGUUCCAUGUUGGAUCCUACUGUAGUUGUGCAUUCUUCGAAAAGUACAAAAAUUAGUGAUCUUACUGGUAUCAUGCCAAUUCAACCCAAAAAGUUAUUCCACUUGGAUAUUACUCGUGAAGCUACAACUCCACCUAAUGGACAAUCACAUGUUAGAGUAGGAACUGUACUGCCAAAGUGGUGGACACUUGUUGCAUUUGAGCCUACUGCUUCGAUGAUGUUAACCGAAUCUCAGUUCUAAAGAGUUGGUAAUCUCAGAUGAAAAGGGUUACAGAAGUACAUUUAGAUUGUCUUGUCCCAGAGAGAUGUGUCGAAUCACGAGUUAUAAACCUGGUGGCACUUAUGAUGACACGUAUAUUUCGACGUAGGAAUGAAGAUCCAAUUUGCUGGUUCAUGCCUACACAUUUUGCACAAUAUGCUUUAAUCGACAAAUAUACACCGGCAGAGGUUAUCUUUGAUUUCCUUGGAGCAUAUAUGUCACUGAAAAUUAGCCACGUCAUUAGGGUGUUUAUCCCUAUCUGUGAGGAACUACAUUGGUAUUUGGUUAUUGUUGACUUUAUAAGUCGUCGCCUAAUCAUAUUGGAUUCACUGCCUUCUGUCGAAAAACAUCAACAACGCAAAAGGAACGCAAUUAAAGUGGCAACUUAUUUAGAAGCGAUGUUAGAUGAUCAUAUUUUUAAUGAUGAUAAGUCUAAAGUUAUAGAUUGCUCCACCUUUUGGCCUAUCACACCUUUUGGCCUACCCACUCAAAAAAAUAGAUCAUUGAUGGGCAAGACCAAAAUGAUGAAGAUGAAGAUGGAGGAGAUGCAAUCAAGAUCGAAUAUGAAGAGAAGAAAAGGAAAUAAAAGCAUUAUCUUUAUAUGUAGUGUCUUUGUCUAAUGAUUCUGUUUUAAUUGCUUUGAUUUGAGUAUAAUUCAUGUUUUUAGCUACAAAACUUUGUCCUUUAUAUAAUGUUGCAUUAUUAUUUAAGACUGAAGUAAAGCUAUGUAUUUGAACACCUCAGCCUUGAGUGUGUAU